rnacentral:lncRNA from 10 species
CCAGAACUAUGUGAGACAUAGAACUAUAAACCAGCAAAGAGUACAUAGAACAAACAUUUUUUUUAGAAGGAUUAAAUGGGACAAUUAAACAAUUUGAUCAGCAUAAUGUCCAGCUCAAGGAUCUUGGAGGUGGUGAGGCAGCCCAAGUGGAAAGGCAGCAGAAGGGGUAUCCUUGUUUUACCAAUUACUCAUAUGUAGGAGAUGGUGCAUUAAAUGAAAUAUUCUCUGCUCUCUCCUAACAUCUACCCCCUCACACCAAGAGGAAGGCAUGUCGCCUGAACCUUUGCAGUAUUCAAUUAAAGUUCUAUUCACACGGUAUUGCAGUUGUUUGCUUAUCUUUCUUUCUUAUUAGACUUAAAACUUCUGGAAACUAGAGGCUAUAUUACUUAUUUGCCUCAGAGUCCUGUUGGCCUAUCAAAUGGCACACCUUCAAUCCAAGAAUGAAUUAAUUAAAUAAAUGUGAA